GACGAACCGAGCGAACGUUAUUCGGAAUCACUGGGCUUAAAGGGCGCGUAGGCGGGCCAUCAAGUCAGGGGUGAAAGCCCCCAGCUCAACUGGGGAAGUGCCUCUGAUACUGGUGGCCUCGAGGGAGGUAGGGGCGUGCGGAACUUCCGGUGGAGCGGUGAAAUGCGUAGAUAUCGGAAGGAACACCGGUGGCGAAGGCGGUUCUCUGGGCAUGUUCUGACGCUGAGGAGCGAAAGUGUGGGGAGCGAACAGG
rnacentral:rRNA from 1 species